rnacentral:misc_RNA from 1 species
UGAUUAAUCUGCUCAUCAAGGUUUCCAUGAGCGUUCGAAAGGACCGAAUCCAAGCUCAUCUUCUCGUUGCUUCUUUAUUUAAUCAGAAAUUGAGAUCCCUUCGAUUUUUGCUUCUACUGUACAAGCUAUCCCCAGAUUACUUCUCCUGAAGAAGAAGAAAUGAAGCCCUAGAUUUCACUCUCUUCGAAUUCCAAGAGAUAGAGAGAGAGAGAGGAAGCGAAGGAAAGAAAGAAAGAAAGAAAGAAACAGCGGUGGUGAAGAAAUAGAGAGAGAGCGCCCUCUCCGUUCCCUUUUGUUCGAUAAUCACCGCUCCUUUUUCU